rnacentral:rRNA from 1 species
UACGGGGGGGGCAAGCGUUGUUCGGAAUUACUGGGCGUAAAGGGCUCGUAGGUGGCCAACUAAGUCAGACGUGAAAUCCCUCGGCUUAACCGGGGAACUGCGUCUGAUACUGGAUGGCUCGAGGUUGGGAGAGGGAUGCGGAAUUCCAGGUGUAGCGGUGAAAUGCGUAGAUAUCUGGAGGAACACCGGUGGCGAAGGCGGCAUCCUGGACCAAUUCUGACGCUGAGGAGCGAAAGCCAGGGGAGCAAACGGG